CAAGGUUACAGGACAAGUAGAAUAUGGCAGAGAUGGAAUUUGAACCCAAGCAAUCAAAUUCAAAAGACUAUACUCUAAAGCAAUGGCACUCAGGGAGUGAUCCAUCAGUGCCUGUGCACAACAAGGUCCACAACCUGGCAUUUAGUGGUAGGCCUGGAGCUGCUCUUGGUCAACAGUGUCAGAAGUUGGGAAGAAGAGCUGCAUAUCAAGCAGAAGAGAAUGAGAAGAAACAGGAACCCACUUCUGCAUCUGUCUAUAGCAACAUCUGACUAUAACGACCUUCAAAAGAUAAUGGCUGUUGCUUCAUUUCCAACCCUCCAAAUCUCAAGUUGUAGAGAAGGUACUGUUCCCAUUGAAAUCAGUAACGGCCAUGUGACCUGAUUCGACUCAUGAAAUGUAAGUGGAAGAUGAAUGUAGACUUUAUGUGCAGAGGCUUUAAGAGUUAUGAGAUAAUUGUCAUACUCUCGUUCAUAAUCUUUGUACCUCAGUGAUUAGCAACACUCACUGUCAUGGCUUCUUCAUCAUCCUGGGUCCUAGAGUGAAGUCCUAGAGCCCAUUAUCAACCCAUGCUAAAUAUGUAGGAUAAGCAAGAAAUAAGAUCUUCCUGCUUGAAGCCACUGAUAUUUUGGACUUUUUGUUACUGCAGCAACAUCAUGCCUAUCCUGACUGAUACAUGGUAUAUAAUCAUUCCU
rnacentral:lncRNA from 1 species